UUUUUUUUUUUUUUUUUGGAAAUAAUCAAAAUGCUUUUACUUCACCAUGAAAUGUGUUGGAGAUAAGCAGUCAAAUUUUGACAAAGCCAGAUGGCUGGAAAAUUGAAACAGUAUUUCCUCCCAGAGAUGAACCCUGCAGGGUAGAGUGGAGUUUAAAUGUAUAUAGAAAUAGGUACCAGGUGAGGGUGAAUCAGAGAGUGCUCCCUCUUACUAGUUCACUCCCAGGAGGAGGCAGAAUGGAGGACUUGGUGCAUUUGUUCCUGCCCAUUGCUGUGUAACAGACCAUGGCCAAAAGCAGUUGAUAGAGGAAGUUUAUUUUGGCCUACAUUCCAGAGGGAUAAGAGCCCGUUAUGUCGGGUGAGCAUGGCAGCAGGAACAGGAAGCUGAAGGUUCACUUUUGUUACCUUAAACAAAGAGCAGAGAGUUAACUGGAAGUAGGCAGUGUCCACUCCAGCAAGGCUGUGCCUACUAAACUUCCCCCAAUGGGACCUCCAGCUGGAGACCAAGUGUUCAAAUACCUGAGCCUAUGGAGGACAUCUCAUUUAAACCACUUAAAAUGUCUUAAUAUUGUUAGUGAUUGUCACUCAUAAAAGGAGUCAUGGGGGAUCUUUAACGUUAUUCUUCAGAUUGUGUUCAUGGUAAACACUUAAAAACCAUACGAUAUGACUUUUGAUGCUUUAAAACUUUAUUUGAACGAUAUUUUUAUUGUGAACCAUACAUUACUUUUGUAUAUUCUGACUCAAAUAAGUGGUCAUAAGAUGGUUGUAGGGUACUCAUCUACCAGCUGCCCAUAGUCAGGCUACCUUUGUAGUGAAGAUAGAGGAUCAAAAAGGCCUUUGGAACAUUUGAUUAUUUUUGAAACCUAAAUUAUUUAUUAGUUGCUGUUAAAUUUAUACAUGUAUCUUCUGUAGUAAGUUACACACUUUUUAAUUCUCUAAGAUUUUUCUAGAUGAUCUGUUAAUUAAUUUAUAAGUAAUAACUUCUUCCCAAAUACUUACAGUCAUAAUAUUUAUAUAAAAUCUACCCAAAACUAAAUGAGCUGUUUAAAAUAAUAAGUAGUUUCUUAGAUAACAUGGAAAUGACUCCUACCUAAAUAUAAACUAAAAUAUUAAUGUUACAGGAUAUCAUUUAUAGUACAACCUAUCCUUAAUUAUCAGUAUAAAAAAUGUAGUGUAUAAAGCUUUGAGACUGUUGUCUUCCCUGCACAAAGUUACCUACCUGUUUCAGCUCAAGUGACUACAACAAAUACCAUAGAGUAGGUGGCUGAAAUAGUAGUUUAUCUGUUUGCUCACAGUAUAGAGGUCUGGAGGUCCAAGGUAAAGUUUCUGCUGACUCCUUUCCUGGUGGGAGCACUCCUCACCAGGGCUAGCUUCUCUGUGUUCACAUGGAGGAGUUCUUUGACUCAUUUGCUCUCGGAACAGCUACAGCCACAAGGUAGGUGUCAACCCUUCGACUCCACUGAGUCUGAAUUCAUUCCUAAAGACCUUGUCUCUAGAAGCAGUGACAUUGGGGUUAGAGCUUCAGUAUUUGAAUUGCUUUGACUAAACCCUUGGCAGUAUCCUCCCAAAGUCUGUGUUUAGUUGAUUUUAUUGUGGAUGGGACUAUUUUCAUACUCAUGAACGUCUUUAAGGUAUUUGUUGCUCUACGGUGUAUCAUGGAGAAGUUAUCUCAAUUUAAACUAUGAAUUUCUUUUUAGACACAAAAUCGAAUGAAAUUAAUGGCUGACAACUAUGAGGAUGACCACUUCAGAUCCUCCCGUUCCAAUCAGACGAACCAUAAACCCUCCCCAGACCAGGUAAGACCAUGCUUGCGUGUCUCAUCUUUUUAAAAGGAUCACUUAUAUCCACGAAUGUUGUGGUAACAUAUUGCAAAUUCUAGGUUAUAAAUUAGAAGAAUCUUAGCUUUUCCUCAAAUAAUUUCAAUAUAGGAAAUUCAUGAUUCUGAACAUCUUAAAAGUAAUUGCCUUGAUGAGAUAAAACUGAGUGACUCCUACUUUUCUUAUUAAAGAAUUGGUUCUGUUUUAGGAAAGCAAGACUGCUCAAGUGCAGGCAUGGCUCAGAACAGAAAUUAAUUCUUGUUGAAUUGCAAAGUAUUUAGUCUCUGUACAUCGUCCGUUAAAGGUACAGCUGCAGGCUGGGAUUUCCCUCAGUGGUCAGUAGCUUAUCAAGGCUCUAAUUUGAAUGUCUAUGACCAGAAAAAAAUUAAAUAUUUUUUGAGGAGUGUGAUAGAUGAAAUUUAAUUUCUUCCUUUCGUUUCCUGGUAUACCCUUUCAGCAUGACAUUUUCAAGAGACAUUGCUUUCAGCUUGCUACUAAUGCAGAAGAGACAGUCAUGACACUGAAGAGAAUUAUACUGAAUUGCACAUUUUUGAAAGGAGAAAACAAGAUCUUGAAUGUGAUGAAUCCCUAUUCAUGGGGAUUGGGCAGAUUAUUUCAUAUCUCUGUGCCCAAAAUCAGUUUCAACAUCUCUGUCACACCCAGUCUUAAAAUGUAUAAAAGUGCAAAACUAAGGGGAAAAAUAAUAGCCAAGUAAUUACAACCAUAUUACUGCAAAAUCAAGGAAAACUCCCCUGCUAAAGAUCUCCACCAAGUGACAACUGGGGCAUUGUCUUAGAAGAAGCCAUAGAAACAUAUAGAUGAAAGUAGCAAUUGGUAUCCGGAAUGUUAAUCUAAGAGUCAGACGGAAUGGUCCUGUAAGAUGGCCUUUACUAAGGCAGCUGAGACUCACCUAGUACUACUAUAGAGUAAACAGAAUCAGCCUUACAUCAAAUGGAGAGCCAUCUGCCUGGUGUCCCCACCUAGAAACCACUGCUCUGCCUGCUUCCUGCUACUGGAUUAAGACUGUCUAGCCUCUGCAUGAAACAUGUCAGGUCUUUCCCAUGCAGCAAGCUUGGGUAUUCGAUAGAGGUGAUAGGAUGUGGGAAGGGCAGACAGAGAUGGAAAAAGGCAACCAGCAGACCCUAUAGAAAAGCUCUGACCUGAGAACGUUACAGCAGCUCUGGGAAAGGAGGGGAGUAGACAUGGACCAUAAACUCAUUACUAAUUUGUAGUUUAGACAGCUAGAACCUAAUGUACAAACAGCCAAGAACUUCUUUUCUGCUACAUUAUGUUUAUGUCUUUGUUUUAAUACUAACCAACUCUUUUUCAUUCCCAUGCUGCCCUGGGGCAUUGUUCCCUUGUCAUCUCUCCCCGUAGGAUGAGGAGGAGGGUAUAUGGGCAUAGCCAAUCAGAUGCUCUUAGUUCAGCCAUUUUGUUCAGAACGGUGAGAAACAGCUUUCCUUAAUUAUGGGAAUGAUUUUCGCUUGUUUUCAUGUUUCAUUCUCCGUGCUCACUUCACAUCUUCUCUGUACAGCCAUGAACUCCCUAGUGUGCUCUCUGCUCCUUUUAUUUUCACAUGACUCUUGUGUGGAUUGCUGUGUUUUUGACAUAGUGGGGUUUGGAUUUUGUGUCUUUUUUUUCUUUUUGUGUUUUAUUAGUCACAUUUAUAAUUUCUUUCUGUACAUUUUUGACAGAACUUCCAGGGCAUAUAACAAAAAUUGAUGAUUUUAUUUAUAAAUCAUCCUAUCGCUGGUGAUUUUACAGUGUCCUGUUUAAUAACUCACCACGAAUUGAUGGGAUUGAGGGGUGGACAAACAGCUAUGUUGCUAUUAGCCUAUGUUUAAAAUAUACUUUAUGAUAAUUAUAAAUAUGCAAUCUGAUUUAUAUUUGUUUUUAAAAAGAAUUCUGAGGGCCAGUCCCUAGGAUCUACCUGGGGCUUUGACAUUAGUUUUAAAAUAUCAAUUUAAAAAAAGUUGGAACAAGGGAGUAAAGAUGGAGGGUAUGUUUUAAAUUUCUUUUCUUCCACUGCUGCCGUGUUCAACAGCUGCCAGGACACUGUCUAGAUUCUCCUUUACAGGCCAUUUGGCUGGAAAACACAGUGCAGCUGUGGCUGUGUCUUCCUUUGAUCUGAUGCCCUUGAGGUUUGUCUAAGGAAAUCAGUUUCUUGGAAAGUGAUAAUUGUGACUACUAAGCUCACACGUACUGGUCCUUGCAUCCGCUGGACACACUGCCCAUGCUUUUGUUGACCUCACUCCUUUGGAGUCUGCUCUCCCUGAAAUGUCUGUGUCUUGAUGUUAAACUGAUUUAAAAAUGCAAACAUAUCAACCUCUGAAUAUUGAACACAGCCAAAAAGGAUAAAAGGUAAGUUUUUCAGUGGCCAGGGUUCUGUGUGACUUUUAGCAGCAGGUGGGAAAUGUACAGUAGCAACCAGAAAGCAUGCUGCACAUCAGAAAAAGCUAAAAAUCAAAGGACAUCUGUGUCCUGGUUGUUCUUUUGCACACUGCAGGGGCAUGUAUUUGUUACCAUGAGGCACGUAGGGGCCACACAGUAGCUAUAGUUUAGCAGUCAUUUGUAAAUGAAUGAUUCUGCCUCUUCUCCGGUGUUUUGGGUUUUAUUUUGUUUUUGGUUUUUUUUUUGUUGUUGUUGUUUUGUUUUUGUUUUUUUGGCAGGACAAGGUAGCUUCUUGGCUUGUGGCAAGCAGGAAGAGUGCCCCUCAUAUACAUGAAUUGUUUCACUCACAGCCCUUUUUCUAGUCAAUGAUAAGAAAUGCAUAAGCCAUGUCCUGAGUCUGGAGUCUACAUUUCCAGGUCUGCUGCUCUGAUGGAGCAAGGUCUAUACCAAACUUCCUGCUCUUGCACUAACCCUUUCUACCUGUGUUCUUAGAGGCCUACUGUGCCUGCUGCUGUCGGUGGCUCUCAUGUUCAUUGCAGCUAGCUGGCUGGAACUGUUGUUUUACAAUACAGUUCUUCAUACUUUCUACACUCUGCCACAGACUUUAUAUGGUAAAACAUUUUACCUAAGGU
rnacentral:lncRNA from 1 species